AUUGAACGCUGGCGGCAGGCCUAACACAUGCAAGUCGAGCGGAUGACGGGAGCUUGCUCCUUGAUUCAGCGGCGGACGGGUGAGAAAUGCCUAGGAAUCUGCCUGGUCGGGGGGGACAACGUUUCGAAAGGAACGCUAAUACCGCAUACGUCCUACGGGAGAAAGCAGGGGACCUUCGGGCCUUGCGCUAUCAGAUGAGCCUAGGUCGGAUUAGCUAGUUGGUGAGGUAAUGGCUCACCAAGGCGACGAUCCGUAACUGGUCUGAGAGGAUGAUCAGUCACACUGGAACUGAGACACGGUCCAGACUCCUACGGGAGGCAGCAGUGGGGAAUAUUGGACAAUGGGCGAAAGCCUGAUCCAGCCAUGCCGCGUGUGUGAAGAAGGUCUUCGGAUUGUAAAGCACUUUAAGUUGGGAGGAAGGGCAGUAAGUUAAUACCUUGCUGUUUUGACGUUACCGACAGAAUAAGCACCGGCUAACACUGUGCCAGCCGCCGCAGUAAAAC
rnacentral:rRNA from 1 species